AUUGAACGCUGGCGGCAGGCCUAACACAUGCAAGUCGAGCGGAUGAAGGGAGCUUGCUCCUGGAUUCAGCGGCGGACGGGUGGGUAAUGCCUAGGAAUCUGCCUGGUAUUGGGGGAUAACGUCCGGAAACGGGCGCUAAUAUCGCAUACGUCCUGAGGGAGAAAGUGGGGGAUCUUCGGACCUCACGCUAUCAGAUGAGCCUAGGUCGGAUUAGCUAGUUGGUGGGGUAAAGGCCUACCAAGGCGACGAUCCGUAACUGGUCUGAGAGGAUGAUCAGUCACACUGGAACUGAGACACGGUCCAGACUCCUACGGGAGGCAGCAGUGGGGAAUAUUGGACAAUGGGCGAAAGCCUGAUCCAGCCAUGCCGCGUGUGUGAAGAAGGUCUUCGGAUUGUAAAGCACUUUAAGUUGGGAGGAACGGCAGUAAGUUAAUACCUUGCUGUUUUGACGUUACCAACAGAAUAAGCACCGGCUAACUUCGUG
rnacentral:rRNA from 1 species